rnacentral:rRNA from 1 species
UAAAUCAAACCUAUAUAGUUUGGCGGCACUUCAUCUUAUUAGAGGAACUUGUUUUUUAAUCGACACACCCCGAUAAAUUUCACUUUAAAUCAAAGUUUAUAUACCGCCAUUUUAAGAAUAAAUUUAAAAAUUACAUUCUAAAAAAUAUUCUAGAAAAUUAGGUCAAGGUGUAACUAAUAUUAAAGAUAAAAUGAGUUAUUUUAAAUUUUAUUUAAGGACUAAAAUGCAAAAAUAUUAUACGAAAAAAGAUUUAAAAGUAAAUUUUAAUAAUAAUAAUAAUAUUUCAAAUUGAAUCAAGAAAUAAGUGUGCACACAUCGCCCG